rnacentral:rRNA from 1 species
GAACGCUGGCGGUAGGCCUAACACAUGCAAGUCGAACGGCAGCACAGUAAGAGCUUGCUCUUACGGGUGGCGAGUGGCGGACGGGUGAGGAAUACAUCGGAAUCUACUUUUUCGUGGGGGAUAACGUAGGGAAACUUACGCUAAUACCGCAUACGACCUACGGGUGAAAGCAGGGGAUCUUCGGACCCUGCGCGAUUGAAUGAGCCGAUGUCGGAUUAGCUAGUUGGCGGGGUAAAGGCCCACCAAGGCGACGAUCCGUAGCUGGUCUGAGAGGAUGAUCAGCCACACUGGAACUGAGACACGGUCCAGACUCCUACGGGAGGCAGCAGUGGGGAAUAUUGGACAAUGGGCGCAAGCCUGAUCCAGCCAUACCGCGUGGGUGAAGAAGGCCUUCGGGUUGUAAAGCCCUUUUGUUGGGAAAGAAAAGCAGCAGGUUAAUACCCCGCUGUUCUGACGGUACCCAAAGAAUAAGCACCGGCUAACUUCGUG